UACGGAGGGUGCAAGCGUUAUCCGGAUUCACUGGGUUUAAAAGGAGCGCAGGCGGAUUUGUAAGUCAGUGGUGAAAGGCUUAAGCUUAACUUGGGAACUGCCAUUGAUACUAUAAGUCUUGAAUGUUGUUGAGGUUUGCGGAAUGGGUCAUGUAGCGGUGAAAUGCAUAGAUAUGACCCGGAACACCUAUUGCGAAGGCAGCAGGCUAAACAAAUAUUGACGCUGAGGCUCGAAAGCGUGGGGAUCAAACAAG
rnacentral:rRNA from 1 species